rnacentral:SRP_RNA from 1 species
GCUGGGUGCUGUGACACGUGCCUGUAGUCCCAGCUACUGGGGAGGCCGAGGUGGGAGAAUUGCUUGGGCCUAGGAGUUCUGGGCUGUAGUGCACUAUGCCAAUUGGGUGUCCACACCAAGUUCGGCAUCAAUAUGGUGCCCUCCCGGGAGCCGGGGACCACCAGGUUGCCAAAGGAGGGAUGAACCGGCCCAGGUCAGAAACGGAGCAGGUCAAAACUCCCGUUCUGAUCAGUAGUGGGAUCGCAACGGUGAAUAGCCACUGCACUCCAGCCUGGGCAACAUAGCGAGACCCUGUCAAU